rnacentral:rRNA from 1 species
CAGGGAUUGCCUCAGUAACGGCGAGUGAAGCGGCAAUAGCUCAAAUUUGAAAUCUGGCUCUUUCAGGGUCCGAGUUGUAAUUUGCAGAGGGCGCUUUGGAGUCGACAGCAGCCUAAGUUCCUUGGAACAGGUCAUCAUAGAGGGUGAGAAUCCCGUAUGUGGCUGCUUGCCUUCGCCGUGUAAAGCCCCUUCGAUGAGUCGAGUUGUUUGGGAAUGCAGCUCUAAAUGGGAGGUAAAUUUCUUCUAAAGCUAAAUAUUGGCCAGAGACCGAUAGCGCACAAGUAGAGUGAUCGAAAGAUGAAAAGCACUUUGGAAAGAGAGUCAAAAAGCACGUGAAAUUGUUGAAAGGGAAGCGCUUGCAGCCAGACGUGCCCGUAGUUGCUCAUCUGGGGUUCUCCCCAGUGCACUCUUCUAUGGGCAGGCCAGCAUCAGUCCGGGCGGUUGGAGAAAGACCUGUGUCACGUAGCUCUCUUCGGGGAGUGUUAUAGGGCAGGUGGAAUGCAACCAGCCUGGACUGAGGUCCGCGCAUCUGCUAGGAUGCUGGCGUAAUGGCUGUAAGCGGCCCGUCUUGAAACACGGACCAAGGAGUCUAACAUCUAUGCGAGUGUUUGGGUGUCAAGCCCGAGCGCGUAAUGAAAGUGAACGGAGGUGGGAACCCCUCGGGGUGCACCAUCGACCGAUCCUGAUGUCUUCGGAUGGAUUUGAGUAAGAGCAUAGCUGUUGGGACCCGAAAGAUGGUGAACUAUGCCUGAAUAGGGUGAAGCCAGAGGAAACUCUGGUGGAGGCUCGCAGCGGUUCUGACGUGCAAAUCGAUCGUCAAAUUUGGGCAUAGGGGCGAAAGACUAAUCGAACUAUCUAGUAGCUGGUUCCUGCCGAAGUUUCCCUCAGGAUAGCAGUAACGUUUUCAGUUUUAUGAGGUAAAGCGAAUGAUUAGAGGCCUGGGGGUUGAAACAACCUUCACCUAUUCUCAAACUUUAAAUAUGUAAGAAGUCCUUGUUUCUUAAUGAACGUGGACAUUGAA